CCCACCUGGAGGCCAAGAAAUUAAAAGGUUGCACCUGGCCAGCUUGUCUACCCACUCUAGAUGAUCCUAGAAAUCAUGCUGUACAGAAGAUCCACAACUUCCUUCCAUCAGAUCUUCUCCCCUCCACUUUUCUUUUUUCUCCCUUCCUUUGUGUGAAGCAGAAGGGACCCUCACGAGGAGCUCAAUCAACCAGCCCGUUCAUCAUCUUGUCUUCUUACUACACAACUGUGAAGAGAAACUGUUAUACCAGAGCUCUCCUCAGCCUGUGGUGAGUCAUUACAGAAAUGUGAACUAAAACAACAGAGAGCUCUUAUUUUUAAACUACUCUGCAAGCUAGACUCCUUGGAAACACAAUGAGACGCAGCAGCGGCAUCCAUACACUUUAUAACAUCCUGAUGUCAACAGAAGCCUGGGCUCCAAGGCCGACAGGUGAAAGGGGACUGAUCUCCAACUUCUCUAACAUGGCUUUAAGGAAGGUUCCCCGAGAUGUGACUCCAGCCACAACCACACUGGAUUUAUCCUACAACCUCCUCUAUCAAUUGCAGAGCUCAGAUUUCCACUCUUUUUCCAAACUGCAUUUUCUGAUCCUGUGCCACAAGAUCCAAGAGCUGGACACCAGGAACAAGAUCCAAGAGCUGGACACCAGGAACAAGAUCCAACAGCUGGACACCAGGAACAAGAUCCAACAGCUGGACACCAGGAACAAGAUCCAACAGCUGGACACCAGGAACAAGAUCCAACAGCUGGACACCAGGAACAAGAUCCAACAGCUGGACACCAGGAACAAGAUCCAACAGCUGGACACCAGGAUCUUUGACCUUAACAAGGAGUUAAGCUAUUUAGACUUGUCUUACAACAGACUAAAGUCCAUCACUUUGUCUUCCAUGGCAGAUCUCAUUUAGAUCUUUCUUUUAAUGACUUUGAUAUUCUGCCUGCCUGUGAGAAGACAGGCAACAUUGCCGUAUCUGGAAACCCUAGCUUUGAGCGGGGCAAAAAUACAAAGCUCAGAUCUCCAGAAAAUUGCUCGUGUGCAUCUCAGCACUGUGUUGUGAGGGCUGCGUACUCUGUCUCUCUAUGAAAAACAGACUGCCCAUCCUAAACACGACAGCGCUUCAUGUCGUUUUACCAAUGAACACAAAUUUCUGGGUGCUUUUGCGUGAUGGAAUGAAGACUUCAAAAAUAGUAGAAAUGCCAAAUAUAGGUGGCAAGAGACAUUUUCUAAGUUAUGAGACUCCGAGAACUCUUUCUGUGGAGAACACCAAGGCGUGCACUCUGAUACUCCAUAAAGUUGACUUGCUCUGGGACGACCUUCUCCACAUUUCCCAGUUUGUGUAGCGGACAUCAGUGGAAUGCUUCCAGAUUCAGGGCCUGACUUUUGGAAGGAUGGUUAAUCGGGACCCAUUCAUUUGACUUCUCAAAUACUGUAUUGAAGGCUAUAAUCUUCAUACAUCUCAGGAUCUCUUUUAUUCCCCAGGAUAGAAUCUACUUGUUUUUCACCCAAAUGGAUUUAGAAAACCUGACGAUAUCUGGUGCACAAAUGCCACAUCUGCUCUUCCCUAGUCACCCCCAAAGUUUCCAGCAUUUAAAUUUUGCCAAUAACAUUUUGUUUGUUUGUUUGUUUUUUUAUUUUUUUGUUUUUCAAGACAGGAUUUCUCUGUAUAGCCCUGGCUGUCCUGUAACUCACUCUGUAGACCAGGCUGCCCUUGAACUCAGAAAUCCACCUGCCCCUGCCUCCCAAAUGCUGGGAUUAAAGGCAUGCACCACCACUGCCCGGCCCGCCAAUAACAUCUUAACAGACGACCUGUUUAAAAACCCUAUCUAGCUGCCUUAUUGGAAACCUCUCAUUUUGAGGGGCAACAAACUGGAGACUCUUUCUCUGGUGAGUCUCUUUGCCUGUGAAUUAAGAGAUUUCAAUUGGCUUGAAAAACAUCCCAAGGGCCUGAUGGCUGGGUAGCCAGAUUCAUAUGCCUGUGAAUAUCCUUUGAGUCUGAAGGCGACUCCAUUAAACGAUGUUUCUCUUUCCCAAUUAGCUUGCAACACAACUUGGCUGAUGGUCACCAUUGUGCUGGUUGUGCUGAUUCUGGGUUUGGGUGUAGCAUUCUGCAUGCUUUACUUUCACGGAUGCUGGUAUCUCAGGAUGCUGGGCCAGUGCAUACGGACCCAGCAUAGCGUUAGGAAGACAAUUCAAGAGGAGUGUAAGAGAAGUGUACAGUUCCACACCUUUAUCUCCUAUGCUGCACAAGAUACAGCCUGGGUGAAGAACAAACUGAUUCCCAAUUUAGAAACAGAAGAUGGCUCUGUCCUGCUUUGUCUUCCGGGGAGAAACUUUGACCCUGACAGGAGCAGUGCUGAAAAUAUAAUAAGCUGCACUGAGGAAAGCUAUAAGUCCAUCUUCAUGCUGUCUCCCAACUUUGUUCGGAAUAGGUGGUUCCUUGCCACCCAGAGUCCCCUUGUCCCUUCCUUGGAGACCUUGGCAGAACCCAGAGAAGUCAUGGUGGGGUGGGGCAGAGGGGGAGCUGGAAACUAAUACACUGUGGCUUUGACUUUUGGGGAAGUGAAACAGACGUUGUAGGAGAUGCUGCAAACCUUGAGUGAAAUUGUCCACACGAGACAACUCCCUUCCAAGAUGAACCGUUUAGCCUUACACUCACCAGGAUUCAGCUAUUUCAUGGCUGUUGGGAGCCGCCCCCACAUUCGCCGUCACAAGAUGGCGCUGACAUCCUGUGUUCUAAGUGGUAAACAAAUAAUCUGCGCAUGUGCCAAGGGUAUUUUACGACUACUUGUACUCUGCCUUUCCCGUGAACGUCAGCUCGGCCAUGGGCUGCAGCCAAUCAGGGAGUGAUGCGUCCUAGGCGAAAUAUAACGCUCCUAAAAAAGGGGACGGGGUUUUCCGCCAUUCUCUCUCGCUGGCAUCUCUCUGGCUCUGCGCGCCCUGCGCUCUCUCGCUGCCUAAAGAUGUAAACAAUAGAGCGCGCUCUGCGCUUUGGCGCGCCGGAGCUCUGGCUCCUAAAGAUGUUAUAGGGGUGGCUUUCGCUUUUGGGGCUGGGGGUUUGCGCUCCUAGCUCCUGAAGAUGUAAGCAAUAAAGUUUUGCCGCAGAA